GACGAACGCUGGCGGCGUGCUUAACACAUGCAAGUCGAACGGGCCCGCUCUCUUUUUUGGGGGUGGGUUGAGUGGCGAACGGGUGAGUAUCACGUGAGUAACCUGCCCCCUGCUCCUGGAUAACUGCUUGAAAGGGCGGCUAAUACGGGGUGUGCCGGCUGGUCCGCAUGGGCCUGGUCGGGAUAGUUUCAUCUUCGGGUGUUUCGGUGGGGGAUGGGCUCGCGGCCUAACAGCUUGUUGGUGGGGUGAUGGCCCACCAAGGCGGUGACGGGUAGCCGGCCUGGGAGGGUGGGCGGCCACACUGGGACUGAGACACGGCCCAGACUCCUGCGGGAGGCAGCAGUGGGGGGUAUUGCACAAUGGGCGGAAGCCUGAUGCAGCGACGUCGCGUGAGGGAUGGAGGCCUUCGGGUUGUGAACCUCUUUCUCCGGUGGUGAAGGCCCUGUCCGUUGCGGCGGGGUUGACGGUAGCCGGGUAUGAAGCGCCGGCUAACUACGUG
rnacentral:rRNA from 1 species